rnacentral:lncRNA from 1 species
CUCAGACGUGGUUGAUGUCCACUUUUCGCAUUCAUGGAAGGAAAAAAGUAUGAGUCGAGGCUGCGGCGCUUGACUUCGUAUCAAUAAAG